GAAAAAAAAAAGAAUAAUAGGUCUGGUUGAGAAAGCAAACAGUCAACCAACAAUGCAAAAAAAAAAAAAAAAAAAAAAAAAAAAGAGAAGAGAAAGGGGAAUGCAAAACAGGCUAAUGACUGCGGCAUUGUUCGGGAAUCAAAAUGUCAGCUACUUGCAGUGAGAGGAGAAGACAAUUAACCUUCACCCACUAACUACGGCCCUCCCUGGGGACGCACGCAGGCAGCAUCCACACCCAGGGCUACAGGCUGAAGCUUAAUGCCUGCUGGAGCAGUCAUUAAGCUACUGGGCUGGAACCAACUGAAGGCCACCGCCAAGGCACUCGCUGGAGAACUUCUGUUUAUGUUUCUUAUUUAGUUAUACAAGCAUUAAAUCAGCGACUCUCGAGCACAGGGCAGUCCCCUCCCAGGCAGGCACACUCACUCCCACAUGCUCCUGGGGCCUCUCUGGUUUCUGGAGCUUGCAUUUGAGGAAGAAAAAGUGAGAAUGAAACAGUCUUCAUCUUACAGUGCCCUUCCUUAGGAACUCUUGCUGUGGGAAGAGGGAGUCCUUGGGUGGGUGGAGAUGAGGCAGGUGGGGGUACUUAUGGCAGAAGAGCAAAACAGCAAGGGAGGUUCUGCAAAGCUCUGAACGUGUGGGUUUGGAAAAGACAUGGGGGGAAGGGUGAGAGGAAUGGAGGACACGUGGGGACAGCAGCCACAGGUACCCCUCCAUGGGCUUGACUGCCCAACUUGAUGCAACGGGAAUGAAAGCCACCAUCAGAAAACCCCAGCACUGCUCUUCCCAAGAGGCACACAGCUCCAGCUGGACACCCAAAAUGCUGGGAUACAGUGGCUGGGAUAUUACUCAUGUGGGCACAGGGAAUUCCCACUUAUGUUCUCGCCCUGCCCCAUCCAACUAAGAAGGAUUUGGAAGGAGGAGGAGGAGAAGGAGGAGGGCAAGCUUGGAGUGAAGGACAAUACAGACUCCUCUCAGUGCAUCAGCAUAGUCUGAUGAUCCUGCCUAAAGACUUGGUUUCCCUGAGCCAAUGUCAUACAGGCACAAAGGUCUUCUUGCAAGGGCAGAGACAGGCAGAAGUAGGCAUGUUCAAACAUCAGGCGUGCUUGCCUCCUUCCUCAGAAACAAGGGGUAGAGGUUACAGCAGGCUCUGAAGAACUGUAUUCAUGCAACACACCAAGGUUUUCUUCACAAAAUACUCACUCGUUCUCCAUCAGCCCCUGGUAGCCCAAAUAAUCCCGGAAGACCAAUAUAUCCCUAAAGAAAAGAGGAAACGAGUAGUCAGAUACGUUUCUCCAUUAGCAGCCAGUCAAUCUGUCAUCCCUGAACAGCAGAACAUCCUCCAGCGUUGGUCAAUGGCAGCCGUGAUGAAAUAAACCUUGAGGCAAGUGUAUAUGCCCAUGGACUGCAUGGUGCUGGCUUCCACGAUGUAGUCCAAGGGCACAUACCCUCACACCAGGGAUCAGGAGAAUUCCGGGCGGGAAGAGGCCAGCAAUAAGAGACCUUACCUGGGCUGGCUAUGAGUGUACCUGAGGGAAAUGGAGCUUGGUUCAAAGUUAGCGAGAGUGAUAGCAAAAGUAACCCAUUCCUUUCACAGUCACCAGCGGUUGCUGCAUUUUCGAGCAUGCAAUGUUUCUGUCCGGCUUUGGGAGGCUGCUCAGACAGGACGCGCUGCAUAAAAUGCUACAUUUCCUUUCCCUCUCAACAAUCGAAGCCUUGUGUUUAAUCCUCUUCGCUCAGCAGUUAGCACAAAGUUACCUUGUGUGCCGGUCCUUUGCAAAAGGACUGUUUGUGCCAAACAUGCAGAAUCGAGAGGAAGCGAAUUUCAGCAGGGAGCCCCCUCCGUGGCACCUCGCCGUCACAAGAGCCAAACGCUAACAGUGACUUUCUCUCAUCUUUCUCUCUCCAUCAUCACUAAAUCUCUUACAGCCGAUCCCAACAAAGUCUUUCACUGGUCCAUCACUUCCUUUGGGGAUGAUAUCCCGCUGGGAAAUACGGCCAUAUCAAAGGAUGCCGAUACUUUGCCUCCCGAGCACCAAGGCAAACCACCCAACUCCUGUUGGAUGACCACUGUAGUGGGUGCAUCAGGAAGAACAGUACAGUAUGAGACAUUCUGGCCUGGAAGAACGUUGAUUCCCUUUUCACCCAUUCUCCCCUGCUCGACCUCGCUGAGGAUCACGGCCUCUUCUUCUGAUGGAGCUGCGCUCCCCCAAGAAAGCAGUGGUUAACCUGAAGACCACGGGGCUACUGGCUGUCCCUUCUCUGGACCUCCAAAUGGCCUUUUCUCCCCGUGCUGUUUGCAUGUUUUUGCCCACAGCUCGUGGAGCAGGACCAACAGAUGGAGCCAGUAAGAUGGGUGCAGCAGGGUGAGACCUGCUGGAGAUGGGAAUUUCCUGCCCCUUGAGAUCCCACCUUGCUGAUCUCUCCCUGCCUCCACUAUUCCCUUACUCUGAGCAUCCCCUGAGCUAAUGUCAGCACCAAGCUCUGCACUGCUCUCUAUGCAAUGGCAAGUGAAUUGCACUUAAGUUAGGUACAUACUCUACUGCUGUUGCAUCAUAUUAAAUACACUCCUGGCUAUUUA